rnacentral:lncRNA from 1 species
AUAAAAAUAUAUUAUUUAAUAUGUCCCUUCUCAGUUUUUAAUAUCUUGGAAAAGUUGAACUUAUAUAUUUACGUGAAGUGCAGCUUCUUUUUCUACCUAUGAUGAGCUGCAUGAUGCAUCUGCAAGCUUUCCAAACAUGUAAAAGUACAAAAGCAGGAUCCACAUUGGAUUUUAUUUCUUCCUCCUUCUCCCGAUGAAGUAGUUUGUUCGUAGGAGGUUUUAUGGCGUUUCUCAUUCCCUCUUGCUUGCUUUGCUUAUUGAUAUAAACAUAAAAUUUAAAAAAAACAAGUGACGUGAUUUCUGAUGAGGCGUGAGAAAAAAAAAUUCAAUUUUCAACUUAGAAAAGUGCAAUUCGGUGCUUAUCCAACAAAUAAGUCAUUCCGAACUCAACAAAAUUCUACGCACAAUAUACAACGCAGAAACAUAAUUAAAAUCCCUGAUUCAUUUUUAUUUUUUGUAACCUACAUACAAUUACAGAAGUAUAAAAGAGUAAGUCGAAAAAUUCAAAUUACUCCUUUGCCAUCGCAUAAAUGGAUCACUUGACACCAGGAGAAAAAGCUACAUCAAAUUAAGUUAAUAAUGGACUUCAAAUUUUUUUAUUAAGGAUAGGAAGAUUUGAAGAUGGAGAUUGAAGGUGUUCUUAACAAGAAAAAAUACGAAUGUAGUUACUGCUCUAGUUUUUUUACACAAUCUGGAAGCUUGAAGAUUCAUAUUGAUAGCGUUCAUAAGAAGAUAAAAAAAUACCAAUGUAGCAACUGUUCUCGUUCUUUUACACGCUCUGGAAGCUUGAAAAACCCAUAUUCAAUGUGUUCAUGAAAAAGUAAAGAAAUACCAAUGUUGUUACUGCUCUAGUUCUUUUGCACUCUCUGGAAACUUGAAAUCACAUAUUGAUAUUGUUCAUGAGAAGAUCAAGAAAUACCAAUGUAGUGGCUGCUCUAGAUCUUUUGCAUCCUCU